GCAAAUACACAGCGUUAGGGUGUGCACGUCAGGACUUAGCACAACAGAGUCCGCCACUCGGUUCAGCCGUCUCCACAUCUGUCUGCAAAAACUCCGAGGACUGUAAGAGCACAGCGGUGGCUGCAGCCAGUAUAAACAAAUCUCUGUGACGAAUGGUACCUCAGUAGGAAGAUGAUAACAAAGGCCAGGAAAGAACCCUUCUCCUUUGCUUUCUGUGACAACACAACAAUACUCAACCCAACUUAGAAAAGGGGAAUGGAAAACUUGACUAAAACCAUUUUUUACACAAUGAUGUGUUUCAAGUUCAAAGUUUACAGAAGAGUCAAGUAAAUGUGAAUUAAUUAUUAAUACAGAUCUUGCGAAAGCAG